rnacentral:rRNA from 1 species
UACAGAGGUCCCGAGCGUUGUUCGGAUUCACUGGGCGUAAAGGGUGCGCAGGUGGGUUGGCAAGUUCGAUGUGAAAGCCCCGGGCUUAACCCGGGAAAGGCAUUGGAUACUGCCGAUCUGGAGGAUUGGAGGGGGGACUGGAAUUCUUGGUGUAGCAGUGAAAUGCGUAGAUAUCAAGAGGAACACCAGUGGCGAAGGCGAGUCCCUGGACAAUACCUGACACUGAGGCACGAAAACCAAGGGAGCAAACAGG